CACUCAGCACUGCAGUGGCAUCCUAAAAGAUGCAGUAGUUUAUCCACCAGGUUUCUGAGCAGAACUAAUGAAGAAUGUUAACUCAGGAGACUCAGGAGUAAGGAUGAAGUGAAGAAAAGAAAGGGGGGAAAAUCCAUCAUGGGGUUGAUUUACUUAUUGGCUUUUAAGGAAAAAAAAAAAAAAAAUCAGAGAAUCAGAGACAAGGAAGAGCAAUGCCCUUGACCCAGACACCUGCAGGUAUGGAGCAUCUGGCCAGGUAUGGUCAGUCAGAACAACCCUCUGGAAGCAGGAAAUGAGUUGCUGAAUUAAUGACGUAAAUUCCAGAAGGGGUUUAGCUGUGCUGGUGUAGAACACACUCCGAAUUACAGCCUUGAGGCCCUUCUGAGUGCAAACACCAGCUCUGGCUGUGGGAGGGUGGGAUUUUCCCUACCCUGGGUGCACAUCUGGUCCUUUGUUCUGGACAAUGGGAAGGCUCCUUCCUCCCGCCCUUGCUGCUGUUCCUGGCUCUGUUUCUGGCCCUGUUCCCACUGGCUGAGCCCAGCCCCUGCCUCCUCUCAGGCUCCUCACACCCACCCUCCUCCCAGCAGCUGGGAGCAGUUGGAUUUUGGGAUGUGGUGGUGCCAGGUUGUGGCUUCUCAUUGCAGCAGGGAAGCUCAGGCCCGAGCACUUGGUAGAGAAGCAGAAAUAAAAGGUUUUGCUCUGUUGGCUGAUGGAUUGCCCAGUGUUAGAGCCCAAAUGGCCUCUCAAUGUCCCACCUGCACCCCUGGGAAUAUCAAGGACCUUGUUUCCUGCCUUCACACUGACACUUUCCUAAGUUAUUCUGGGGUUACAGGGUUUGGCAGCUGAAAAGGUCAAACGCUGACAGGCGUGCUGUCCCCAACGCUGUCCUUGGCUGGGCUUUAUUUCCCAACUCCAGCCCUGCUGCUCGUGUGAUGCUCCAGCACUGGUCUCUGCCAGGAGUCAGGAUCACCCCAGCCUUGCUGGAGCCUCCUGGGGAAUCACUGAAACAAAACUGUGGAAAGAAUCGAGCACCUGGAGUGUUUUAGGAGGGAGCCUGGGCUCUGAGGACAGCGCCUGGCUCGGUGUGGUUAGCCCCCUGCCCAGGCAGGGUGGGCAUAGCUAACAGCCUGUCUCAUUCGGACAGGUCUCUCCAUCCCUAAUCCCUUCCCUCCUCAUGUCCCAGGUAACAACAGGCUUUCAAUGAAAGUGAAAGUGAAAGGUGAAGUGUCUGUGGCAGGAAGCAAGAGAUUGAAAGUGUUAACAGAGCUUUAGGGUGGGUAAUAGCAGGAGAUUUGCGAGAAGGAUCUGGAAGAAAAGCCCCUUUUCAAAGGAAUUGUAUAAUCACUGGUAGCUCAGUGUUUCACGCUCAAGGAUUGCCUUCACGAUCUGCCAUCAGAGGAGAGGAUUUGCUGCUCUCUUCUGUAGAUGAGCACUAGAGAAACCCUUCCCACACUGCUUUUCUAAAUCUUCUUUGAAGGGAUGCUCCUCUCCUCCUAGCGAGUGGCAGGGCUGUGCCUGUUUUGUGACACACAUUUGCAGAAAUAAUCAGGAAUAAAAAGGGGAGCAGAAAGCACCUGCCAUGGGGGGAUGCCCCUCCAAACCCCAGUGUUCCCAGAGCCAGGGGCUGGGGAGAGAGGGCUGGGGGCUGCACUGGAGGGGAAACAUGCCCCACUUGUAGAUCUGUGGGGUGCUCAGCUGCAGGCAGAGCUCUUUUGGCAGCAGGAAGGAUAGAAAGGGUUUCAGUGGAAAUGAUCUUUAUUGGCAAGCACAGCUUUGCUGAAAUCAACCCAUUUAGUGGGAACAUGUAGGAAACUAUUGAUGGGAAGAAAAAUCGGAACCAUUCAUUUUGACCUUCAGAGGAUAAUUUUUUCUUCCAAAGCAUUUAAUUUCAACAAAUUGUUCCAUUUAGUUUUGAUUUUACCACUCAAAUUGAUGCCAUUUAAAUCUUCCACGUGUGUGAGCUGCUGGUUCCUGGCUGUACCCUGGCAGUGCUGGGCACCCACAGCAUCUUUCCAUGGCACAAAAAAGGGAAUCCUUCCUCAUCGACACUUCUGAAAGCCUUCUCCAGCAAAUUUGGGAUGGACAAGAGGAUUUGGAGAUGAAAACACAUCUGAAAGCAUCACAAUUUCCUGUGGAAGAGAAACUGUACUUUCCAAGCACUCUGAGUCAGUAGUGCAUAGCCUGACCCUCCCUGCUCAGCCUUUCUGAUCCAACCUCUCAGACAGCAAUAAACAUAUACAUUAGCCAAUUUAUUCCAUGUUUUGCAUUUGUAGGACACUUUUGAUAUAAAAAAGAGCUUAGCUUUAAAUUUGUGUGACCUUGACUUGCCUAAAGUUAAGCUGCUCUUUAAGUCUGUGUAGAAUUGGGACCUUGUUAGUGGUCCACACACCCCCACCAUGUCCUGCUGAUGUUCCCCUGGCAGGAGAGGGUGGUCUGGCAGCUGAUUGCAUUGAUCUGAGGUGGCAGCAGACCUGUGCCAAUGCCAGGUUUGUUUGUGUUCAUGUAGGAGUGGUGCUGGCUGCAGCACACAACGUUGCAGCCCCGUUCACCAGGGCUGGGACUUCUGCUGCUGUCUGGGAAUUUGCAACAAGGACAGCAACUGUUCCCUGCUUCCCUGCAGUGCUUUGUGCAGAUAAAAAGGUGUGUGAGGCUGCAGAGGCUGCGGGGGGCUCAUGGCCAGGUAAAGGUGUGUCCCUUCUCAUCCACACCUGGAUCCAAGGCCCCUCCUGGGUGGAUUUGCAGGGAGCUGGAGGGAGGGAUGCUCAGGGCUCAGCUGACUGCAGUGACAGGGCUCUCCUGGGCUCACCUUUAAAGCAACAGCAUUAUUUCAGAGACAUGUUCAAGGGCAAAUUCCCCGUGAGCACAGUGUGUGAGCGAGUGGGACCCAGUGAAGGAGGAAUUUGUCACCUUUGGGUGAUGCUGUGGAUGUUCCUCCUGCACACUGAGGUGAGGCUCCAGGCCUCUGCCCACCCAGCCCUGCCACCAGCAGCUGUAGGCCUGCAGAGACAACUCCCCAGGCUCCCUUUUUAACUCACUUGCUUUCAUUUAUAUUCAAAUCAGAGGAUAAAUGAAGGCAAUGCAUGCGCUCAGCUCAGGCAAGGCUGCUGCUCCAAAGCAACCACAGAGAAGGUGUUUUAUUUUUAAAAUAGAUAAAGGAAGAGAUGAAGACAGGGAGUUCUGCAUUCUCACUAUCACCUUCUUGUUGCUAAUGUUGGCCUGGUCAUGAAAACAGAAAGAUUUGUAAAAAUUGUUUGUUUUCCAACACACAGGCUGUUUACUUGGCUCCAGCAGGGCAAAUAAAGCCUAGGCUUCUGCUCGUGCUUUAAGUCAGUUCCUGUGUCCAUGACCAGGUUUGUAGAGAUGCUCCUGGGGAUUUCAGCUUCCAAUCAGUCUUUAUUUGAUGAUUUAAAUAAAUGAUAAAUAUGCAUGUGGAACAAUGAAAAUAUUCUUGGAAGAAGUGCAGCCUAAAGAAUAUAUUGAUCUCCCUUGAAUCAGGGCUCUGCAAAGGGAGAGGCACCCUGCUCAGGGGCAAGCCCUGCCAAACCCCACCGAGGCAGGCUCUUAAAUGAAGGUGGAAAAGAUCCCAGCAUGGUGUGUGUCUGUCUCACAGGCCAUGUGCCCUGAAAAGGCACAUGGGAUCUCACUAACAACCCUCUGCAUUUAGAGCAGGAUUUUGCCCCAACAGAUGAUCCUGACGUUCUUAAAAGUGACGGUGCCCUUUUGCAGUGUGUUUUAAGCACAUGUGUGCUGACACCUCCAUGUGUUGACCAGGCUGGACUCAGCCUUGUGCCUCAGUCCCUACGGCAGAGCUGUGCUGCCUUGUCUUUUCCUGGCUUUGCCCACCUCAGAGCACACAGAACUGUCAAAACCUACUUAAUACACAUUGACUUAAUGGGAGUUGUGCAGCAAAGUGCUGCUGGGUGCUUGGAAGGCAAAGUCUGUGCAGAGGAUUCAUUACUCCUGGAUUGUAAUUAAUGAUAAUUAAAGAAAAAAAAAAAAAAAAGAGAGAAGGUUUUGUAUUGAGAGUUAUGCUGGAUGUCAGAAUUAACAUCUCAUUGAAUUAUCAAAGCUUUCAAGCAGUAGGUGGUGGAGAGUGGCUUGGGGCUUGCAAAUAGGUCAGAGAAAGAGCUGGUUGCUGGAUAUCUGAUAGAAACUUUCCACUGGGGAAGAAAAUCUUGCUGAUUUGAUGGAAUAAGAACAAUUCUUGGGAGGAUAUCUAUUCCCUUAAAACGUAUGGAAAAAGCAGGCAUGGAGGCUGGGCUGCCUGCAUACGACCUGGGCUCUGUGGCUUGAUCCCUGGGGAUCCCUCCUGCUCACAUAUGCAUUAUUCCCCUUCUCACUGCAAAAUGAGAACACAAAAAGAAGAGAAGCGUGAACAUUUUGGUGGCAUGGUGCCAGCCAGGUUU
rnacentral:lncRNA from 1 species